rnacentral:lncRNA from 1 species
AAUAAUUGGCAAGGCAAUAUGGAAAGUGACUUCAGCCAGGUUCGAACCGGUGCAGAAUUUGAAAUUACCAAGCGCGCCUAACUCAAAACGCCAGCGUUUUGAUUCAACCCUAGUGCCUGGCGCGCUGCAUGGAUUUCGUAGCAAAAUUCAAAAUGAACAUGCAAGUUUCGUAGCUAAAACGUAGAUAAACCGUGGCCAAAAAUGGAAAUGAUGAUGUUCAUGCAAGCACGAUGAAGAUCAUGAAGAUCUUC